CGUGUAGGCGGUAUGGCGUGUCAGAUGUGAAAGCCCCCGGCUCAACCAGGGAAGUGCAUUUGAAACUGCCGUGCUGGAGUGCGAGAGAGGAGGGUGGAAUUCCCAGUGUAGAGGUGAAAUUCGUAGAUAUUGGGAGGAACACCGGUGGCGAAGGCGGCCCUCUGGCUCGCAACUGACGCUGAGACGCGAAAGCGUGGGGAGCAAACA
rnacentral:rRNA from 1 species